CCUACGGGUGGCAGCAGUGAGGAAUAUUGGUCAAUGGGCGCAAGCCUGAACCAGCCACGUCGCGUGAAGGAUGACUGCCCUACGGGUUGUAAACUUCUUUUAUAAAGGAAUAAAUUGAGGCACGUGUACCUUUUUGUAUGUACUUUAUGGAUAAGGAACGGCUAACUCCGUGCCAGCAGCCGCGGUAAUACGGAGGAUCCGAGCGUUAUCCGGAUUUAUUGGGUGUAAAGGGAGCGUAGAUGGGUUGUUAAGUCAGAUGUGAAAGUUUGCGGCUCAACCGUAAAAUUGCAAUUGAUACUGGCAGCCUAGAGUAUAGUAGAGGUAGGUGGAAUUCGUGGUGUAGCGGUGAAAUGCGUAGAGAUCACGAAGAAUACCGAUUGCGAAGGCAGCUUACUAGAC
rnacentral:rRNA from 1 species